ensembl:rRNA 5S_rRNA 5S ribosomal RNA
GUCUACAGCCGCAACACCCUGCACGCGUCUGAUCUCAGAAGCUAAGCAGGGUCGGGCCCGCUCAGCACCUCAAUGGGAAAAAGUGAAAUGCUUAGGUAUAAACA